GGACACCACCCCAAAAUUUCCUAGUCCUCUUUGAUACGGGUUCCUCCAAUCUGUAGCUGCCCUCCAUCUACUGCCAGAGCCAAGUCUGCUCCAAUCACAACAGGUUCAAUCCCAGCCUGUCCUCCACCUUCAGAAACGAUGGACAAACCUAUGGACUAUCCUAUGGGAGUGGCAGCCUGAGUGUGUUCCUGGGCUAUGACACUGUGACUGUUCAUAACAUCGUUGUCAAUAACCAGGAGUUUGGCCUGAGUGAGAAUGAGCCCAGCGACCCCUUUUACUAUUCAGACUUUGACGGGAUCCUGGGAAUGGCCUACCCAAACAUGGCAGAGGGGAAUUCCCCUACAGUAAUGCAGGGGAUGCUGCAGCAGAGCCAGCUUACUCAGCCCGUCUUCAGCUUCUACUUCACCUGCCAGCCAACCCGCCAGUAUUGUGGAGAGCUCAUCCUUGGAGGUGUGGACCCCAACUUUAUUCUGGUCAGAUCAUCUGGACCCCUGUCAGCCCGUAACUGUACUGGCAGAUUGCCAUCGAGGAAUUUGCCAUCGGUAACCAGGCCACUGGCUUGUGCUCUGAGGGUUGCCAGGCCAUUGUGGAUACCGAGACCUUCCUGC